rnacentral:tRNA from 1 species
GGCUUGUUGUUCUAGGGGUAUGAUUCUUGCUUAUGGUGCGAGAGGUCCCAGGUUCAAAUCCUGGACGAGCCC